rnacentral:tRNA from 1 species
GUCCUCGUAGCUCAGUUGGAUAGAGCAAUCGCCUUCUAAGCGAUCGGUCGAGGGUUCGAAUCCCCCCGAGGACGCCA